rnacentral:lncRNA from 10 species
AGCAAGUCCGGCCCCGUCUCCAAAACGUGGAGCCAGAGAUGCACCCCUGCACAGCCGGGGCUGCUUUCCCACUGUCAGGGUUUGAGCUCAGACCUUUUAUUUACUUCCUCCUACCUGUUUUGUGUUUUCCAUUUCCAACAAGACUCUGUGUGGUCAAACAACACUGUGCAUAAAAAUGCUUUCCCAACAAUGAAGCACUUUUCAAAACUCAGACUCUGCGUGUAUUCUCAGCCUAAUUAUUUACUGUAAUUUUUCUAUCCACGCUAGUAAACUAAGAAGAUGGGCAAAGGGAAGUGAGUUCUCAGAUGGAUUAUAGUGGGUUCCAGGCUCAAAGACAAGGACAGGGAACACUGGCUGAAUCCUAGCGAGAAAGAGAGAAAGAGAGAGAGAAAGGGAAAGAGAGAGAGCCCUUUCAAGACCAUGGUCUCUUCUCUCUGCCCACAGUAUGUUUUUGCCAUUAUGUGAGGACGAUGGCCAUUGGAGUGCCACAGCUAUGUGUGGAGUGCACCCACAACUAUCCCAACGACCUCAUAGGAUGUCCUUAACUCCUUAUGGGAACAUGAGGUGAAGAGAGAUUAAGGGCCUGUUGAGGGUCGUUUGGCCAGCAAGUGACCAAGUUCAGAUUUGAACCCCAAGCCGUCUGACCCUGAAGUCAGCAUCUCUUCGUUAUGUUAAGCUGCUCCAUGAAGCCGCUGUGUGCAAGGCCCUGGCCCUAGUGCCAUGGAUUGGAGGGAAAGACAUUCAGACAGGGUUUUUAUGGGUGGCACAUGUUUUCUUCCCCUGGUAUCUGGGGGCUUUUGUGGGGACCGUCCUCUGUGGCCCUGCCUUGUAGCUGGCCACAUGGUGAGCAGGGGUUUGCUCGAUCCUCUUUCAUGGGUGCUAUUAUA